CGGCGCUUCCUGGCCUUCCUCUUCUUCCUGGCCCUGGUGGUGGCCGUCAUCGCCCUCAUCGUCUACCUCGUCCUCCGCCCCACGCACCCGCGCUUCUACCUCCAGGACGCCUCGCUCCGGCAGCUGGACGUGCUCUCCGCCAACGCCUCCGCCGCCGCGGGCGUGCUCUCCACCGUGCUCCAGGUCACCGUCGCCUCCCGCAACCCCAACGACCGCGUCGGCGUCUACUACGACCGCCUCGACGUCUACGCCUCCUACAAGUACCAGCAGAUCACGCUGGCCUCCGCGCUCCCGCCGGUGUACCAGGGCCACGGCGACGUGGAGGUCUGGUCCCCGGUGCUCUCCGGCCCGAACGUCCCCUUCGCGCCCUACCUCGCCGACGCGCUCGCCAAGGACGUCCAGGCCGGGUACCUCAUCCUCCAGGUCAAGAUCGACGGCCGCGUCCGGUGGAAGGUGGGCAGCUGGAUCUCCGGCCACUACCACAUCUUCGCGACCUGCCCCGCCUUCCUCGUCGGCGCCGGCGGCAACGGCGCGCCGGGGGCCAGUGGGCUCAGGUUCCAGACCGCCACCUACUGCCACGUCGAGGUCUAGCCGCCGAACCGCACGUGCUCUGCUUCUUCUUCUUCAUCAUCUUCCUCUGCUCCGUCGGCGGCGGCGAGGUAGGUUUCUUGCGGGUGGCGCGCGCGCGUGCGCGUAGCCAAGAGGAUCAUCAAGGCUCAAGGCCAAGGGGGGUGGUACAUGGUGGUAAUAAGACUUAGCGUCGAGGGGUAUAGGUGUAAAAAGGAAAAGAGAAUUUAGUGUUGGUUACUCCUACUACUAAAUUGCGUUUUGUUCGUGUUUAAUUGUUGGUGAAGUAUUUAUUCCACGUUUAAUUGUCAAUAUAUAUGAACUUGUCGUUACGAUGGAAUUAAAGUGAAAUGGUUAAUGCUGGGGUUACAAGUAUACUACUAGUGGUGGUUUUGUUUUUGUUGCGGUUUGAGUUGAGAGAGCUUUUUGUUGUGGUUCAAUUCAACGACAAGUUUAGAGAUUUUGUUGGAAGGGUCCUAGCUUAGCUAGGUUGGUGGCAACAACCAGAUAGUAUCGUCGAUGAUGAUGAGCUUUAUGGUAGGUUGCAAGUCCAAUUCUCUGAACUCAUUGCCCUGGGAGGAUUUGGUGAACGAGUAGGUACGGAUUGGACUUGGGAGUUCAGGAUCAUCUCUCUCUCUCUCUCUCUCUCUCUCUCUCUCUCUCUCUCUCUCACCUUGCUGGCAGCUCCAUCUAUGGAAGCACCUUACAUACGUAUUUAUUUUUGGAGUUUCCAGCUGUUGGCCUCUAUAGCAAGUGACAGAGUAGUGGUGAUGUGUCUGACUGGUGAGAGGUGAGGAGUGGCCAGUGAGUAAAAAAAGUUGUUCUGUUGGCACGGAAUUGAGUGCAGGAGAGGAAUUAUACGAAAUUCCAUGUGUCCCAUGGAACUUCCAUGGUUGAACCAAUUAGCUCUCUCGCGAAAAAAAAUUUAGCUCAGGUGCAAGGUCUCCAUGACGAGCGGUGACGAUUGCAUGAUAUCUGCGGCCUGUGCGGCCCAGAUUGCGUUAUAAAGGAUUUAUCGGUCGCUUUCCUUCUUUUCAAAACCAAAGAAAACGGGGAAGAAAAGAGAGGUGGAAAUGUGCUUUGAGGUGGUAGACAGCAAUG
rnacentral:lncRNA from 1 species